ACGCACGCUGGCGGCAUGCCUAACACAUGCCAGUCGAACGAGACCUUCGGGUCUAGUGGCGCACGGGUGCGUCACGCGUGGGAACCUGCCCUUAGGUUCGGAAUAACUCCCCGAAAGGGGUGCUAAUACCGGAUAAUGUCUUCGGACCAAAGAUUUAUCGCCUUUGGAUGGGCCCGCGUUGGAUUAGCUAGUUGGUAGGGUAAAAGCCUACCAAGGCGACGAUCCAUAGCUGGUCUGAGAGGAUGAUCAGCCACACUGGGACUGAGACACGGCCCAGACUCCUACGGGAGGCAGCAGUGGGGAAUAUUGGACAAUGGGCGAAAGCCUGAUCCAGCAAUGCCGCGUGAGUGAUGAAGGCCUUAGGGUUGUAAAGCUCUUUUACCCGGGAUGAUAAUGACAGUACCGGGAGAAUAGGCUCCGGCUAACUCCGUG
rnacentral:rRNA from 1 species